ACGCUCGACACCUACGGGAGGAGCAGUGGGGGAUAUUGCACAAUGGGGGAAACCCUGAUGCAGCAACGCCGCGUGAGGGAAGACGGUUUUCGGAUUGUAAACCUCUGUCAUCGGUGACGAUAAUGACGGUAGCCGAUGAGGAAGCUCCGGCUAACUACGUGCUAGCAGCCGCGGUAAUCUGAGCGGGCUGGCAAGGC
rnacentral:rRNA from 1 species